UAGGGAAUCUUCCGCAAUGGGCGAAAGCCUGACGGAGCAACGCCGCGUGAGUGAUGAAGGUCUUCGGAUCGUAAAACUCUGUUAUUAGGGAAGAACAAAUGUGUAAGUAACUAUGCACAUCUUGACGGUACCUAAUCAGAAAGCCACGGCUAACUACGUGCCAGCAGCCGCGGUAAUACGUAGGUGGCAAGCGUUAUCCGGAAUUAUUGGGCGUAAAGCGCGCGUAGGCGGUUUUUUAAGUCUGAUGUGAAAGCCCACGGCUCAACCGUGGAGGGUCAUUGGAAACUGGAAAACUUGAGUGCAGAAGAGGAAAGUGGAAUUCCGUGUGUAGCGGUGAAAUGCGCAGAGAUAUGGAGGAACACCAGUGGCGAAGGCGACUUUCUGGUCUGUAACUGACGCUGAUGUGCGAAAGCGUGGGGAUCAAACAGG
rnacentral:rRNA from 1 species